AUUGAACGCUGGCGGCAGGCUUAACACAUGCAAGUCGAGCGGGGUGAUGGUGCUUGCACUAUCACUUAGCGGCGGACGGGUGAGUAAUGCUUAGGAAUCUGCCUAUUAGUGGGGGACAACAUCUCGAAAGGGAUGCUAAUACCGCAUACGUCCUACGAGAGAAAGCAGGGGAUCACUUGUGACCUUGCGCUAAUAGAUGAGCCUAAGUCGGAUUCGCUAGUUGGUGGGGUAAAGGCCUACCAAGGCGACGAUCUGUAGCGGGUCUGAGAGGAUGAUCCGCCACAAUGGGACUGAGACACGGCCCAGACUCCUACGGGAGGCAGCAGUGGGGAAUAUUGGAAAAUGGGGGGAACCCUGGUCCAGCCAUGCCGCGUGUGUGAAGAAGGCCUUAUGGUUGUAAAGCACUUUAAGCGAGGAGGAGGCUCUUUUGGUUAAUACCCAAGAUGAGUGGACGUUACUCGCAGAAUAAGCACCGGCUAACUCUGUGCCAGCCGCCGCCGUAA
rnacentral:rRNA from 1 species